AAUAGUAAAUGCUACAAGUAACUACUGUAUUUAAAGAUAUAAUUUCGAGUUUGUAGUUGAUUGAGGGAAGCAGAAGUCAAUUUAACUUUGAAAUUCUGGCCCUUUUGCAAAACCAGGACAUGGGUUUCCACAAUUUCUUGCUUUUGUAAAUUACAUAUAUUUGUUUAAAUUUAAUUCAAUUCUCAACAGCAAAAUUAACUAUAACUUGACCCCAUUAUUUCUUGUGUUCCUCUAACUUAAGUAGAGCACAUACAGUACUAAGUAAUAAAUGGGCAAGGGCCAUUAGUAGGGGUGUACACGGUUUCGUAAAACCGACCAAACCAACCCGAACCGAUCACUUUUCGACCGAACCAACCCGAAUUUUUUUAACCCGAUAUGUAUUUGGUUUAAAAAAAUAUAAACCCGAUUUAAUUGGGUUGGUUACGGGUUUGAAUAUUUUUAGGCCGAACCAAACCAACCCGAAUAAAAAAUAAAAUAUUUCAAAUAUUAUAUAUAUAUAUAUGCAUAGCCCAGCACCCCGAAUAUAUUUUAAAUAUAUUAUGUUGUCUAAAUUAGUGAUUAGUGUUACAAAUAUAUGAUUAUUGUUCACCAAAUGGUAUAUCUUCUGCAAUGUUUCGGAAGGUAAAGUUUCUUAACCUACCCCAGAAAAUUUAUUAUAAAAUAUUUAAGUUACAUGUUACAGUUUUACCAGAGUAGUCUGAUGUGAUUAUACCGGUGCGCAUAGGGGAGUAAAGAGUUGAGCAUCAGUUUAUAAUAUUUAUUAACUCAACCAAACCAAUCCAAACCGAACCAAACCGAACCAAACCGAUGUACUACAAAUUGGUUUGGGUUACAAAUUUAUACGGUCUGGGUUGGGUUGAAAUUUUGAAAACCCGACUUAAUUGGUUUGGGUCGAUAAAUUCCGUCAACCCGCCCAACCCGAACCGUGUACACCCCUAGCCAUUAGUCAAAUUUUGAGCCUCUGGGGACUCCCAUGCAUAAGAAGAUUGCAAAUUCCCAAACGUGGCCCUCGUUU
rnacentral:lncRNA from 1 species